GUUUCUUCAUCUCUGCUAGUCACACAAUAAAGCUAGAGAAAAUUAGUUUCCAAGAUUUUUUUUCUUGGUAAGUUCGUGAAACAAGCCGUACUGGUAGCAAGUAGAGAAUUUGGAUUCAAAUCAAAGCUUCCAGAAAUUAAGUUUUUCGGAUUCAGCAGAGACAAUCUUGCUAAGGAAGUAGGGAGGAGAAGAUCCUUCAGGCUAUAAGAAACUUUCUUCAAGCACUUUCACAUGUCAGGUGUCUAUCAUUAUAUCUUGACACCAGCCAGGUUCUCUCCCUAGCACACGACUAUGUAAGCAACCUUCCUACAUUUCAUAAUUUGACCGAGUUGAAGCUGCUGCACGAAGCAAUUAAACAUAAACUAGUAUUUGCAUUGCUCAAGGCAGCACCUAAUCUGAAGAGUCUUCAAUUCGAC